AGUGAACGCUGGCGGUAGGCCUAACACAUGCAAGUCGAACGGCAGCACAGUAAGAGCUUGCUCUUACGGGUGGCGAGUGGCGGACGGGUGAGGAAUACAUCGGAAUCUACUUUUUCGUGGGGGAUAACGUAGGGAAACUUACGCUAAUACCGCAUACGACCUACGGGUGAAAGCAGGGGAUCUUCGGACCUUGCGCGUUUGAAUGAGCCGAUGUCGGAUUAGCUAGUUGGCGGGGUAAAGGCCCACCAAGGCGACGAUCCGUAGCUGGUCUGAGAGGAUGAUCAGCCACACUGGAACUGAGACACGGUCCAGACUCCUACGGGAGGCAGCAGUGGGGAAUAUUGGACAGUGGGCGCAAGCCUGAUCCAGCCAUACCGCGUGGGUGAAGAAGGCCUUCGGGUUGUAAAGCCCUUUGUUGGGAAAGAAAAGCAGCAGGUUAAUACCCCGCUGUUCUGACGGUACCCAAAGAAUAAGCACCGGCUAACUUCGUG
rnacentral:rRNA from 1 species